rnacentral:rRNA from 1 species
UACGAAGGGGACUAGCGUUGUUCGGAAUUACUGGGCGUAAAGCGCGCGUAGGCGGAUCGCUAAGUCAGGGGUGAAAUCCCAGGGCUCAACCCUGGAACUGCCUUUGAUACUGACGAUCUGGAGAUCGGGAGAGGUUGGUGGAAUUCCGAGUGUAGAGGUGAAAUUCGUAGAUAUUGGGAAGAACACCGGUGGCGAAGGCGGCCAUCUGGACCGCAACUGACGCUGAGGCGCGAAAGCGUGGGGGAGCAAACAGG